UUAAGCGACUAAGCGUACACGGUGGAUGCCCUGGCAGUCAGAGGCGAUGAAGGACGUGCUAAUCUGCGAUAAGCGUCGGUAAGGUGAUAUGAACCGUUAUAACCGGCGAUUUCCGAAUGGGGAAACCCAGUGUGAUUCGUCACACUAUCAUUAACUGAAUCCAUAGGUUAAUGAGGCGAACCGGGGGAACUGAAACAUCUAAGUACCCCGAGGAAAAGAAAUCAACCGAGAUUCCCCCAGUAGCGGCGAGCGAACGGGGAGCAGCCCAGAGCCUGAAUCAGUGUGUGUGUUAGUGGAAGCGUCUGGAAAGGCGCGCGAUACAGGGUGACAGCCCCGUACACAAAAAUGCACAUGCUGUGAGCUCGAUGAGUAGGGCGGGACACGUGGUAUCCUGUCUGAAUAUGGGGGGACCAUCCUCCAAGGCUAAAUACUCCUGACUGACCGAUAGUGAACCAGUACCGUGAGGGAAAGGCGAAAAGAACCCCGGCGAGGGGAGUGAAAAAGAACCUGAAACCGUGUACGUACAAGCAGUGGGAGCACAGAGCAAUCUGUGUGACUGCGUACCUUUUGUAUAAUGGGUCAGCGACUUAUAUUCUGUAGCAAGGUUAACCGAAUAGGGGAGCCGAAGGGAAACCGAGUCUUAACUGGGCGUUAAGUUGCAGGGUAUAGACCCGAAACCCGGUGAUCUAGCCAUGGGCAGGUUGAAGGUUGGGUAACACUAACUGGAGGACCGAACCGACUAAUGUUGAAAAAUUAGCGGAUGACUUGUGGCUGGGGGUGAAAGGCCAAUCAAACCGGGAGAUAGCUGGUUCUCCCCGAAAGCUAUUUAGGUAGCGCCUCGUGAAUUCAUCUCCGGGGGUAGAGCACUGUUUCGGCAAGGGGGUCAUCCCGACUUACCAACCCGAUGCAAACUGCGAAUACCGGAGAAUGUUAUCACGGGAGACACACGGCGGGUGCUAACGUCCGUCGUGAAGAGGGAAACAACCCAGACCGCCAGCUAAGGUCCCAAAGUCAUGGUUAAGUGGGAAACGAUGUGGGAAGGCCCAGACAGCCAGGAUGUUGGCUUAGAAGCAGCCAUCAUUUAAAGAAAGCGUAAUAGCUCACUGGUCGAGUCGGCCUGCGCGGAAGAUGUAACGGGGCUAAACCAUGCACCGAAGCUGCGGCAGCGACGCUUAUGCGUUGUUGGGUAGGGGAGCGUUCUGUAAGCCUGCGAAGGUGUGCUGUGAGGCAUGCUGGAGGUAUCAGAAGUGCGAAUGCUGACAUAAGUAACGAUAAAGCGGGUGAAAAGCCCGCUCGCCGGAAGACCAAGGGUUCCUGUCCAACGUUAAUCGGGGCAGGGUGAGUCGACCCCUAAGGCGAGGCCGAAAGGCGUAGUCGAUGGGAAACAGGUUAAUAUUCCUGUACUUGGUGUUACUGCGAAGGGGGGACGGAGAAGGCUAUGUUGGCCGGGCGACGGUUGUCCCGGUUUAAGCGUGUAGGCUGGUUUUCCAGGCAAAUCCGGAAAAUCAAGGCUGAGGCGUGAUGACGAGGCACUACGGUGCUGAAGCAACAAAUGCCCUGCUUCCAGGAAAAGCCUCUAAGCAUCAGGUAACAUCAAAUCGUACCCCAAACCGACACAGGUGGUCAGGUAGAGAAUACCAAGGCGCUUGAGAGAACUCGGGUGAAGGAACUAGGCAAAAUGGUGCCGUAACUUCGGGAGAAGGCACGCUGAUAUGUAGGUGAAGUCCCUCACGGAUGGAGCUGAAAUCAGUCGAAGAUACCAGCUGGCUGCAACUGUUUAUUAAAAACACAGCACUGUGCAAACACGAAAGUGGACGUAUACGGUGUGACGCCUGCCCGGUGCCGGAAGGUUAAUUGAUGGGGUUAGCGCAAGCGAAGCUCUUGAUCGAAGCCCCGGUAAACGGCGGCCGUAACUAUAACGGUCCUAAGGUAGCGAAAUUCCUUGUCGGGUAAGUUCCGACCUGCACGAAUGGCGUAAUGAUGGCCAGGCUGUCUCCACCCGAGACUCAGUGAAAUUGAACUCGCUGUGAAGAUGCAGUGUACCCGCGGCAAGACGGAAAGACCCCGUGAACCUUUACUAUAGCUUGACACUGAACAUUGAGCCUUGAUGUGUAGGAUAGGUGGGAGGCUUUGAAGUGUGGACGCCAGUCUGCAUGGAGCCGACCUUGAAAUACCACCCUUUAAUGUUUGAUGUUCUAACGUGGACCCGUAAUCCGGGUUGCGGACAGUGUCUGGUGGGUAGUUUGACUGGGGCGGUCUCCUCCUAAAGAGUAACGGAGGAGCACGAAGGUUGGCUAAUCCUGGUCGGACAUCAGGAGGUUAGUGCAAUGGCAUAAGCCAGCUUGACUGCGAGCGUGACGGCGCGAGCAGGUGCGAAAGCAGGUCAUAGUGAUCCGGUGGUUCUGAAUGGAAGGGCCAUCGCUCAACGGAUAAAAGGUACUCCGGGGAUAACAGGCUGAUACCGCCCAAGAGUUCAUAUCGACGGCGGUGUUUGGCACCUCGAUGUCGGCUCAUCACAUCCUGGGGCUGAAGUAGGUCCCAAGGGUAUGGCUGUUCGCCAUUUAAAGUGGUACGCGAGCUGGGUUUAGAACGUCGUGAGACAGUUCGGUCCCUAUCUGCCGUGGGCGCUGGAGAACUGAGGGGGGCUGCUCCUAGUACGAGAGGACCGGAGUGGACGCAUCACUGGUGUUCGGGUUGUCAUGCCAAUGGCACUGCCCGGUAGCUAAAUGCGGAAGAGAUAAGUGCUGAAAGCAUCUAAGCACGAAACUUGCCCCGAGAUGAGUUCUCCCUGACCCUUUAAGGGUCCUGAAGGAACGUUGAAGACGACGACGUUGAUAGGCCGGGUGUGUAAGCGCAGCGAUGCGUUGAGCUAACCGGUACUAAUGAACCGUGAGGCUUAACCUU
rnacentral:rRNA from 1 species